CAAGGAGAGUCAUCUGAGAAGAGGGAACCUCAAUUGAAAAAAGAAAAAGUUUCCAUACGAUCAGCCUGCAGGCAAGCCUGUGGAGAAUUCUCUUGACUGACGAUUGAUGUGAAGACCUGAUCCUCCUGUGGGUUGUGCCACUCCUAGGCUAAUGGUCCUGAGGUGCAGAAGAAAGUAAACUGAACAAGCCAGAAGUAUUAAGCAAGUAGACAGCAUUCUUCCCUGCUCUCUGUCUCAGUUCCUGCCCCGCAGGUCCUGCCUAGGCUUCCCUCAGUGAUGGACUAUCGUCUGGAAGUGUUCAGCGUGUAUCCAAAUUUAACCUGCUAUCAGAAGAAAUCUGCCUCCUCUUGAACAUCAAAUAGCAUUUAUACAAAUCAUCUAUGACCCUUGUAGCCUGCUUCCUUCACUGCUAUAUUUUAUUAAAUAAUAGGUUUUACUUCACUUGUGUAAUGCUCAUUUACAUGGUCCUGUGUUAUGGAAGGAUAUCAUUAUAUAAGUAUAUUAUGAACUUACUAAGUAUUUUGAGUUUAUUCCCCUUCCACCCCUCCAUUUGUCUCCUUCAUUGCCCUACAAAGUUUGCUUCUGUUUUUACAUAAUAUAUUUAUGCAUCAUUUUAUGUACCUAUAUAAAAACCUAGGAGCCAAAAAUGGAAAAAACAUGUGGUUGUUUGAAUGAG
rnacentral:lncRNA from 1 species